AUUGAACGCUGGCGGCGGGCCUAACACAUGCAAGUCGAACGAGUGGCGGACGGGUGAGUCAUGUAUUGGAACCUGCCUGAUGUAGGGGGCUAACUACUGGAAACGGUAGAUAAUACCGCAUAGCAGCGGUUGUGCCCAGGUGGGUUUAGCUAGGAGGUGGGGUAAAGGCUCACCUAGGCGACGAUCCCUAGCUGGUCUGAGAGGAGUAGCAGCCACACUGGAACUGAGACACGGUCCAGACUCCUACGGGAGGCAGCAGUGGGGAAUAUUGCACAAUGGGCGAAAGCCUGAUGCAGCCAGGCCGCGUGUAUGAAGAAGGUUUUCGGGUUGUAAAGUACUUUCAGCGGGGAGGCGUUACCCGCAGAAGAAGCACCGGCUAACUCCGUGCCAGCCGCCGCGGUAAUAC
rnacentral:rRNA from 1 species